ACAUUUGUAUUUUGCUCUUGACAGUACAUUUGUAAACUUAUCCUCGGAGAGAAAACUACGAAAGUGUCAACAAUUUGAGUGAACUUAUUAAAAACUAAGAAUUGAUUAAAAUGAUGUUAAGUAUUUAUUUGACGAUGUUGUGUGUUUGUCAAUUAUUAGGAGGACCCCUAGAUGAAAGAUUGGAUUUUUCACAAGGAGUUGGAGAAGAAAGUUCUAGUUCUAGAUUCACAGGGUUUGAAGUUCCUAUUGUACGGAAGCUAUUCAAUGAUUUUAAAGAUGAGAAACGUAAACUUUCAGGAGACAAUGACAAAAAUAUUCAUGGGAGUAGUGUUUUGAUGAAACACAUUUACUCAACAGUGAAUGAGAAUGGACUAAGACAAGCUGAAUUGGAUUUAUCUGAUGAACCUGGGUUUGGAAAUCAAUCCAAUCUUCUACCAAUCCAGGAUCUUGCAAAGGAGUUUGAAUCCCAUAAGGAAUCGGAUUCUAAUGAAACAAAAGAAGACCAAGUGCUCUUAAGUGACUCUGCACUUGUCUCUCUGUCCAAGAGUAAAAGUGACCAGAUUUCCAAUCCAUCAACAAAAGAAGACCAAGUGCUCUUAAGUGACUCUGCACUUGUCUCUCUGUCCAAGAGUAAAAGUGACCAGAUUUCCAAUCCAUCAACAAAAGAAGAUCAAGUGCUCUUAACUGACUCUGCACUUGUCUCUUUGUCCACGAGUAAAAGUGACCAACAUUCCAAUCCAUCAACGCCAGAGGCAUUAGAUUUGAAAGAUGAGACUUCUAAAAACUCUGACCUAUCAAAAUCAACCACUGUAAAAACAGAAUCAGAAGCUGUAAAUGAUCAAUUCAAUAUUACUAGUGAAGUACACCAAAAUAUUGAAAUUGGUCCAGAAACCUCUGAAGAUUAUGCUGAUGAAAGUAUUGAUGCAUUAAAUGAAGAAGAUUUCUCUGUAACAGCGCACAACUCUGUAGAUUCAAUUACAGAUAUUGCUCUUGCAACUACAAAAAUGUAUCUAGGUACUGAUGAUAAUAAGAAGAAAAAAGACAGCACUGAAGUUGUUGAUGCUGGUGCAGCUCACUAUAUAUAUAUGAUGGAUCAACAUGAUGUUACCAUGAGUCCUCUUGAUGUGUCAAGUGCCAGAAGUAGCAAGUAUGAUGAUGUUGAUAUUAAACUUUUGGAAUCAACAGAAUUUCCAGAGUCCCAAAAACAAGAUGGAACAAAUGAUAUGAGUGAAACCAUAAAGGAUUCUCGGCAAGCGACUGAUUUGGAAAAACCUAAGAAGAUGGAUGAAACGGAAGAUAUGUAUGGGACGAUAGAAGACUCCGAGGAAACUAGUGGAACAGAGGAUAGGGAUGGACGAAUUGUAAACACUCAGGGCUCAAGAAGAAACACACAAAGUGGACCGAACAGAGUGUCACUAGGUUCUAGAUUAAGCCCAAGUGAAGGUUUCAGCCCAAGCAGUGUAUUUACAAGUCCAGGUUCCUCAAGCUCAGGAGUAUUCCGACCUAGCCCUGUUUUUACAGAGGAACAUCAUACCUUUGAGCAAACUACAACUAUACUAAAUAACAAUGAACCCCGUCCUUUCCAAAACAUGGAAGACGAACAUCAAGCUACUAGGUGGGUUUCUUGAGGAAGCUGGGUCGUCUUUGUUUGGCUGGAUAGAAGAUAUUCUUGGAUAGAUGGAUAAUUAUAUAGUGCUGCUGUAGGUGGUGGAGGAAUAAGUUUUACUGAAAUCCUCACUAGUGUGGUUCAUUUCCUUCUUAAUUACCAUUUCGGCGGCAAC